UACGGAGGGUGCAAGCGUUAUCCGGAUUCACUGGGUUUAAAGGGUGCGUAGGUGGGUCUGUAAGUCAGUGGUGAAAUCUCCGAGCUUAACUCGGAAGCUGCCAUUGAUACUAUAGGUCUUGAAUUAUCUGGAGGUUAGCGGAAUAUGUCAUGUAGCGGUGAAAUGCUUAGAUAUGACAUAGAACACCGAUUGCGAAGGCAGCUGGCUACAGGUAUAUUGACACUGAGGCACGAAAGCGUGGGGAUCAAACAGG
rnacentral:rRNA from 1 species